rnacentral:rRNA from 1 species
UUUCCGUAGGUGAACCUGCGGAAGGAUCAUUGUCGAAAACUGCAAAAGCAGACCGCGAACACGUUUAACAACACUGGGAUCGCGGCGGGGGAGGAAUCCCGCGUUGCAUUCCACUCCCGCAGGCGGGCACGCUGCGGGCUAACGGACCCCGGCGCGGCAUGCGCCAAGGAAUACUCAUAGAAGCGUCCGCCUCCCAUCGCCCCGUUCGCGGUGGGGGGUGGGUGAUGACUCGCAAUGUCUAAACGACUCUCGGCAACGGAUAUCUCGGCUCUCGCAUCGAUGAAGAACGUAGCGAAAUGCGAUACUUGGUGUGAAUUGCAGAAUCCCGUGAACCAUCGAUUCUUUGAACGCAAGUUGCGCCCAAAGCCGUUCGGCUUAGGGCACGUCUGCCCGGGCGUCACGCAUCGCGUCGCUCCCCCACCCAUCCCCGGAAAUGGCCUCCCGUGCGCAAUGAUGUGCGGCCGGCCUAAAUCCGAUCCCUCGGAGACUCGCGUCACGACCAGUGGUGGUUGAACACUCAACUCUCGUGCUGUCGUGUCGGGCGACGUACGUCGGUUGUUUUUGUCGACCCAAUGGAGCGAGAUUUUCGCGCUUCCGACCGCGACCCCAGGUCAGGCGGGAUCACCCGCUGAGUUUAA